rnacentral:rRNA from 1 species
AUUGAACGCUGGCGGCAUGCUUUACACAUGCAAGUCGAACGGUAACAGGGUGCUUGCACCGCUGACGAGUGGCGAACGGGUGAGUAAUGCGUCGGAACGUGCCGAGUAGUGGGGGAUAACGCAGCGAAAGUUGUGCUAAUACCGCAUACGUACUGAGGUAGAAAGUGGGGGACCUUCGGGCCUCACGCUAUUCGAGCGGCCGACGUCUGAUUAGCUAGUAGGUGAGGUAAAGGCUCACCUAGGCGACGAUCAGUAGCGGGUCUGAGAGGAUGGUCCGCCACACUGGGACUGAGACACGGCCCAGACUCCUACGGGAGGCAGCAGUGGGGAAUUUUGGACAAUGGGCGAAAGCCUGAUCCAGCCAUGCCGCGUGUCUGAAGAAGGCCUUCGGGUUGUAAAGGACUUUUGUCAGGGAGGAAAUUCCUAGUGCUAAUAACACUGGGGGAUGACAGUACCUGAAGAAUAAGCACCGGCUUACUACGUGCCAGCAGCCGCCGUAAAAC